ensembl:lncRNA
UGAAUUCCAGAGGGCUCCAUUACCAUAUUGUUUAAGGUCUUUGUCCUACACAUCUUUAAGGAUGAAGAACUUACAAUAAGAAUAAUGUGGGGAGCGGGCGUUGUGGCAUAGUGGGUUAAGCCGUCAUUUGGAGCUGGCAUCUUCUAUCAGAGUGCUGGUUCAAGUUCAAGCUGCUCUGCUUGCAAUCCAGCUUCUUGCUAAUGCACCUGGGAAGGGGGCAGAUGAGGGCUCCUGCCACCCCAUGGGAGACCAGGAUGGAGUUCCUGGCUCCUGGCUUUGGCUUGGCCCAGCCUUGUCUAUUGUGGCUGUUUGGGGAGCGAACCAGCAAAUGGAAGAUCUCUCUGUUGUUCUAACUUUUGAACAAAUAAAUAAAUAAAUCUUACAAAAAAUAAAAGCACAACAUAUGUGGCAGGGCAUUCCUUUGUGAGCAGCUGUCACGUGGGUGAUUCAGAGCCUCAGUCCUCAGUAUCUUCCUCCUUGAAAUGGGAAUAAUGACAACAUCUGCCUACUUGGGUUGUUGUGGUUUAAAGAGUUAAUGUCUAGAAAGUUCUUGGCACGGUGCCGGUUUCACUGUAGACGCUGCGUGAUUGCUUGUGUGCUUACCUAUCCUUUCCUCCUUGGAAUCCCUUUUAUGCUUUUCUCUUCCAUUCACCCGCUGGAGUCUCGUCCUUGAUCACUGACCCAAGGAGGGGAUGUGACCCCAAAGAUCAGAGGCAAGAAAGCGCUCCUUGCGGCUGUUGAGUUUCAGAAGACAGAAACAAGGCGGAGAUCAUGGAUACUCCACCUGCCACCCCGGCUGGAAACAUCGCAUUUUAGAUCAAGAGGAAAGCAAACGGGGUUGGGAAGUUAUGAGAACUUAGAUGCCAGUAGGCCCCUGAGAAAGGGGCCCAGGAGCCUGGUUCCCAUGUCAGUGUUAGGGACACAGAAGCCAAAACCAACCAACCCCAAAUUGUCAAUCACAAAACAAGAAAAACAACCAAACAAAAAACUCCACAGUAACUUCCUAGCAGCUGAGAACAGAGUGAAUCCAUGUCCUGUCUCUUUAAGAUUCUGGGAUACGAUACUAAUGACUGUCCAUUGUCACUUGGCAGGUGCAGCCUCAAUCCAGCCUAAAUUGUCCUCCAAGACCUGUCUGGGCCCCAGCAUGGUUUCUUGGCCCCCACCAGUGGCAGACAGAGGAUGGGAAUGCAAGCAUCUGGGAUUGAAAUACCACAAUCCAGCGGCUGAAAGGAAGAUUCUCAGACUAGAAACGCAGCCUUGCUCACGGCAUCACUCCACCCUGCUUUCUUGGCCUUAGUAAACGUUUGAAACACACACACAGAAAUGUACAUUUGCAUAGGAGCGAGCCUCAGAGGACACUGCCACCAGCCCCGUGGUGAGGUAGCCAAGCCUCCACCUGGGCGCCCGCAUCCCACAUGGGCUCCGGUUUGUGUCCUGGCUGCCCCUCUUCUGAUCCAGCUCUCUGCUGUGGCCUGGGAAGGCAGUGAAAGAUGGCCCAAGUGCUUGGACCCCUGCACCUGCAUGGGAGACCCAGAGGAGGCUCCUGGCAUUGGAUAAGGUUCAGCUCCAGCCGCUGUGGCCAUCUGGGGCGUGAACCAGUGGAUGGAAGACCUCUCCCUCUGUCUGUAACUCUGCCUGUCAAAUAAAUAAAUAAAUAAAAUCUUAAAAAAAAAAAGG